rnacentral:rRNA from 1 species
UACGUAGGGGCUAGCGUUGUCCGGAUUUAUUGGGCGUAAAGAGCGUGUAGGCGGCCGGUAAGUCCGGUGUGAAAACUCGAGGCUUAACCUCGAGAUGUCAUCGGAAACUAUUCGGCUAGAGUCCGGAAGAGGAGAGUGGAAUUCCUGGUGUGAGCGGUGAAAUGCGCAGAUAUCAGGAAGAACACCUAUGGCGAAAGCAGCUCUCUGGGACGGUACUGACGCUGAGACGCGAAAGCGUGGGGAGCGAACAGG